UGUAUAUUUCUGUGAAGAACUUUUUUUAAAAUAUAAAGUGGUUUUCCGUACAGACACCGAGGCGAAUAAGAUGAACCACCCUGUAUAUAGUCAUAAAGUACAUAAAUAAUUACAAAAUACAAAUGCUCCUGCAAGUCAAUAAUAUGUUACAGGUUGUUACAAACGUCACAUCUUGUUUUAACUUGUUUUCCCGUUAAAACCUUGUUUGGUGCCCUCUUUUUCCUCUCUCUUUUCAUCUAACAUCUAAAUCAUCAUACUGAACAUAUUUCAUAUCCUCACUCUCUAGAUAUCUGUCUUUCAUCACGGAAAAUGCUCAUCCCAUUUUUCUACAGUUCAGGCUGUCAUUUCGACGACUGUGACAAUUCUCAAAAUGGUGGUGGUAAAGUCAUAAAAGCCAAAGGAGCUUGAAAAUAAAAUAUUUUAUUCCAAACAGACGAUCUCUUGGGUUUUUGGAUAGAAGUAACUUUUCUCCCAUCGGUAGCCUCCAGCCUUCAUUACCGGUGAUGCCAAUUUAAGGCCAAGACAACAGGAAGCAUCCAGAGAGCAACAACCACCAACUAUAGCAACUCUCAACGUCUCUUGCUGCAUUGACUCGAGGCCGUCCAUUUAGCCCAGGUCGAGAGAAGUCAACAGCUGUACCAUUCGACAUCAAGAAGUUACCAUCGAACCAGAUACCACAAGCCAUGCAUAAGUAUAAUCCAAGAAUUGUUAGUUUUUGGCAAGAAUUUGAAUAAUAUGUUAUUGCAUUUAAAAGGUCAUAUUUUAUGAUAUCUUUAUUGAGCAAUAAACAUGAUUAGUUAAAA
rnacentral:lncRNA from 1 species